ACCCUAAUAUCGACUUGUUGGUGCUAACUAGUUUUAAUAAACAUUUUACUAAAGAGUUUGUAUUGCUUAACUAACACUUAGAGACUAAAACAAAUUUACACGUUUAAAUUAUAAACAGAAACUAAAUCUCAGACUGCUGGACUCAAAAUAGAGAUAAAUCAAGGUUGUAAAUCAAUAUAAAUAAUCGAGUAAAUAUCAAACUACCAGUAUAAACAGAAGUACCUAAAAAAAUGCAACGUGUUCUUAAGUUGUUAUUAAGUAAAUUGCUUUCGCCUAUCAUUUCUCAUAGAGAAUGUUGUACAGGUAGACUCAGGCUUGCUUGCUCAGUCGGAGGUCUAUUCACAUCGAAUGUUUUGAACGUAUUGCGGGGCCAAUGAAAAGACUAGUUUUUAAACUGACAUUUUUUGGACGAUCUUAAAAUAUUGUGACUGUCUUCAUUGCAUUCGACGAAUUAUAUCAAAUACCGACUAGACUUUAUGAAGGAAAAUAGAACUCUCCAAACUGGACAGGACAUCAAGAGCCAAUGAGAUGGAUCACCUCCACUCAGGUUAUCUAGGACAUUCCCGGGCUCCUUUCAAUCAUCUGGAUGUUUCGACUCAGGCGAACAUCCAGCAGCUGGCACUGACCUACGAAUCUGAAGAUGAAAUGA